rnacentral:lncRNA from 10 species
GGGGGAUGAGACCAUAUCGAGGAUGCACUUUGUCGUUAUUAAGGUUAAAAACACCAAGAUAGCUGGGUGCGGUGGCUCAGGCCUGUAAUCCCAGCACUUUGGGAGGCCGAGGUUGAAGGAAGAGAAAGACCCUCUCAUAUUAUUUUAUAUUGUUUUAUACUCAGUACCUGUUUUAAGCAAAAACAGCAAGGAAGUAAAACCAAAGACAGGCAGCUCGGUGCCAGGCCUGAAACCAGGCCUGGGCCUGCCUGGCCUACACCCAGUAGUUAAAAAUCAACUCAUGACUUAGAAACCGGUGUUAUUCAUAGAUUCCAGACAUUGUAUAGAAGAACACUGUGAAACUCCCUGCCCUGUUCUGUUUCUCUCUGACCACCGGUGCAUACAGCCCCUGUCACGUACCCCCUGCUUGCUCAAAUCAAUCACGACCCUUUCAUGUGAAAUCUUUAAUGUUGUGAACCCUUAAAAGGGACAGAAAUUGUGCACUCGGGGAGCUCGGAUUUUAAGGCAGUAGCUUGCCGAUGCUCCCAGCUGAAUAAAGCCCUUCCUUCUACAACUCGGGGUCUGAGAGGUUUUGUCUGCGGCUCAUCCUGCUACAAGCCUGCACUAGGCAACGCUGAAGCCACAGAAGACACCGCAGUGGGAAAACCAGCAUAAGCCGCUGCCCCCAAGGAACCUCAAAGCCCAGGCAGAGGACCAGCCAUCCCAGUCGCACAGGGAGGCAUGAGACUUCAAUCAAAUAAAUUUAAGAAACACAUUGGUUUCAUCUGGAAGAGCGGGAUAGCUCAAAGGGGGAGAAGACCUUCUGCGUCAUAGAUGGUGUUGGAACCGAAUUGGAGGACACCUGGAUGGUGUCCACUGCUUGGUGUUUGGGGGAAAACCCCCCACACAUUUGGUCACAGAAGUCUUCUGUGUUGAUGAUUUUUUGUGGUGUGACAGCAGAGGGAAGACACAGUUUGAGGUGGGAUUUAUCCUCUUUAAGACAACUUCCUGACCUCGGACACAUAGAAGGCUGCUGAAGGCAAUGGUGGAUCCUUUCAUUUCAAACAAAAUCACAUUCAAUUUUUUUGAGAGCUGCAGGCCUGGGUGGUGUUAAAUUGUGUCAUUUAGUAUUAAAGAAACACGAUAAAACUUUCAAAG